rnacentral:rRNA from 1 species
AUGCGAAUUAACUUUGAUAAAAGUGAAUUGAUCCCCAUAAACAUCACUUUAGAGGAAACAGCCAACCUAGCUGAGAUUUUUGGCUGCCCAAUAGGUAAAUUCCCUAUCAAGUACCUAGGAGUACCUCUGCAUGUGGAUAAGCUUUCGAGGGAGGAUGUCCAACCUUUGCUAGAUAAAAUCCUCAAGAGGAUUGCCGGGUGGAGAGGAAAACUCCUUUCCUACAAGGGGAGGGUGAUUUUGAUUAAAACCUGCCUGUCCAGCAUUCCUAUUUACCUGCUCUCCUUUUUUAAAUUCCCCAAAUGGGCUUUAGAUCUCAUCAACUCCCAGAUGGCUAAUUGCCUCUGGAAUGACUAUGAAGGGCAUAGAAAAAUCCACUUGGCAAACUGGCAACUUGUGUGCAUGAAACAGGAGUUUGGGGGUUUGGGAAUCCCAAAUCUCCAUGACCUGAAUAUUUGCUUGUUAGGCUCCUGGGUUAAGAGAUAUAUGGCCGGAGAGGGGAAAAUUUGGAAAAACCUCAUUGAUUACAAAUAUCUUAGCAAUGCCCCUAACAUCUUCUGUGGUGAUUCUAUCGGGGGCUCACAAUUCUGGAAGGGUGUCGUUUGGGCUGCAAAAGCAAUUAAAAUGGGAUCCAGGUGGGUGGUGGGGAAUGGA